ACCUCCUCCUCCUCCUCCCUUUUUAUUAUUUGAAUCCUGAUCGGAUUUCGGAACAAAAGAUGAAUGGGUGCGUCCCCGAUUUCGAAAUGGACGACGAUUACUCACUUCCCACUUCCUCUGCUCUCAACCGACCCAGAAAAUCAACCAUGCCGGAAGAUGAUGUCAUGGAGCUGCUAUGGCAGAACGGCCAAGUCGUCAUGCAGAACCAGAACCAGAGGUCUGCAGUCAAUAGUAAAAGAUCGCACCAGUCCAAGUACGACGUCGUUUUGCCCGACGACGGUGCCGGCAUCACCAGACCGGCCCCCCAACCCCAGCCGCAGGCCCAGAACCCGCACCUGUUUGUGCAAGAAGAUGAAAUGGCCUCGUGGCUUCAGUACCCUCUCGUCGACGACCCCUUCUCCGCGGACCUCCUCUAUCCCGAUUCCACCACUUCCGAGCUCCGGCAGCUGCAGGUUUCGGCGCCGCCCCCCGCUUCGAGGCUGCCGAUCCAUACGCCGAGGAGGACCGAAGUCCAGAACUUUCUGCACUUCGCCAGGCCCAACAACAACAACGCCAGCAGCAACAGGCCUAUGAUUAAGGAAAUGGCGCCGUCGGGCUCGAAGAAGAGCGUGGUUAGGGAGACAAUGACGGUGGUGGACUCCAGCGACACUUCGCUGGUGGGUCCAAGCUCUAGGGCUUUGGAUUCUAGGCCCGACGGCGCUGGUGGCGGCUUGGCUAAUGGAGCGACGUCGUUUCCAACUACUGCGACUGCUGGGACGUCGUUUCCGGCGAAAGAAGUGUGUGAGAUGUCGCUGACGUCGUCGCCAGGAGGCUCCAGCGCGAGUGCCAGCGCAAGCGCCGAGCCGAUGUCGGCUCAUAAGCCGCCGCCGACUGCCGAUAACCGGAAGCGGAAAGGGAGAGAAGUCGCCGCCGCCGACGACGCCGAGAUUCAAAGCGAGGAUGUUGAGUUUGAAUCUGCCAAUGGAAAGAAACAAGUCCGAGGAUCGACAUCAUCUACAAAGAGAUCACGUGCUGCAGAGGUCCACAAUCUCUCUGAGAGGAGACGUCGAGAUAGGAUAAAUGAAAAGAUGAAGGCUUUACAAGAACUAAUACCUCGAUGCAAUAAGUCGGAUAAAGCAUCAAUGCUGGAUGAAGCAAUUGAGUACUUGAAAUCACUCCAGUUACAAGUACAGAUGGUGUCCAUGGGAUGCGGCAUGGUCCCUAUGAUGUUUCCUGGAGUUCAGCAGAUGAUGUCCAUGCCGAUGGGGAUGGGAAUUGGAAUGGGCAUGGGAAUGGGAAUGGAAAUGGCUGGCAUCAAUCGCCCUAUGAUGCCUUUUCCAAAUGUAAUAUCCGGUUCACCCAUGCCAACAGCGGCCGCACAUAUGGGACCUAGGUUCCCUAUACCACCAUUUCACAUGCAGCCUAUUCCUGCAAGUGAUCCUACCAGAGUUCCAGCAGUGAACCAGACAGAUCAUAUGGUAAACUCGCUUGGGGCACAAAAUCCAAACCAAUCACGGAUGCCAAAUUUUGCAGAUCCUUAUCAGCAGUUUUUCGGUCCCCAACAGAUGCAGUUACCAUUACAGCAGAACCAAGCAAUGCCCCAGCCGACUACUGGCAAGCCGAGUUCCAGUAGGGGACCUGAAACUCAUGAAAACCAUCAAUCAGACAUUCUCUUUGGCUAAAGACCCGACGUUCAAAGAUCGUCUUGGAACAUGACAUCAGCCGGUGCAUUCUCAAAGAUAUGGAAGGAGAUGGUGAUAGAUCCUUUUGGGUAUCGUUUUCUGCUUUUCGCAAAAGCAGAAGAGCCAUUGCAGGAAAAGAUGAACAAAAAGUUGCAGUUGAGGACCGAAUAUUGAAAGUACUCGAAUCGUUUCGGGAAAUGGAUAAGCUAAGAAUCUCGGAUGUCCCCGCAAAGAUUAUACGUCAUAUAGCACUCACCACGUGACCAAGUAUCAUGUGACUAAAUCACGAAACAUGGUCAAGUGCUAGUGAUCAAGUUAUGAGUGCUAUAGGAAGGAGAUAUAUAGAGACAUAUAUUUCACGUUGUAUGCGAGAGCUAAUUGUCUGACUAUAUUGGUCAUAGUUUCCUUCUGUUGCGGCCGGUGCUCGUUUGCGCACAAGCACGAACCACCGAUGCUAAAAUCUUUUCUCAAGAUAUCUUUCAAACUGUUGGGGUGGUUGCUCAAGAUGCCUUUACUUUUGUUGGUUUUACCACAAAAUAUAGACAUAUAUUUCGCGUUGUAUGCGAGAGCUAAGUGUCUGACUCUAUUGGUCAUAGUUUCCUUCUGUUGCGGCCGGUGCUCGUUUGCGCACAAGCACGAACCACCGAUGCUAAAAUCUUUUCUGAAGAUAUCUUUCAAAUUGUUGGGGUGGUUGCUCAAGAUGCCUUUACUUUUGUUGGUUUUACCACAAAAUAUAGACAUAUAUUUCCCGUUGUAUGCGAGAGCUAAGUGUCUGACUCUAUUGGUCAUAGUUUCCUUUUGUUACGGCCGGUGCU